rnacentral:rRNA from 1 species
GAUGAACGCUAGCGGGAGGCCUAGCACAUGCAAGCCGAGCGGUAGAGAUUCUUCGGAAUCUUGAGAGCGGCGUACGGGUGCGGAACACGUGUGCAACCUGGCUUUAUCAGGGGGAUAGCCUUUCGAAAGGAAGAUUAAUACCCCAUAAUAUAUUAAGUGGCAUCACUUGAUAUUGAAAACUCCGGUGGAUAAAGAUGGGCACGCGCAAGAUUAGAUAGUUGGUAGGGUAACGGCCUACCAAGUCAGUGAUCUUUAGGGGGCCUGAGAGGGUGAGCCCCCACACUGGGACUGAGACACGGACCAGACUCCUACGGGAGGCAGCAGUGAGGUAUAUUGGACAAGGGGUGAGAGCCUGAUCCAGCCAUCCCGCGUGAAGGAUGACGGCCCUAUGGGUUGUAAACUUCUUUUGUAGAGGGAUAAACCUUUCCACGUGUGGAAAGCUGAAGGUACUAUACGAAUAAGCACCGGCUAACUCCGUGCCAGCAGCCGCCGUAAGAC